GUACACUCCUGCGGGAGGCAGCAGUGGGGAAUUUUGGACAAUGGGCGAAAGCCUGAUCCAGCAAUGCCGCGUGAGUGAAGAAGGCCUUCGGGUUGUAAAGCUCUUUUGUCAGGGAAGAAACGGUGAAAGCUAAUAUCUUUUGCUAAUGACGGUACCUGAAGAAUAAGCACCGGCUAACUACGUGCCAGCAGCCGCGGUAAUACGUAGGGUGCAAGCGUUAAUCGGAAUUACUGGGCGUAAAGCGUGCGCAGGCGGUUUUGUAAGUCUGAUGUGAAAUCCCCGGGCUCAACCUGGGAAUUGCAUUGGAGACUGCAAGGCUAGAAUCUGGCAGAGGGGGGUAGAAUUCCACGUGUAGCAGUGAAAUGCGUAGAUAUGUGGAGGAACACCGAUGGCGAAGGCAGCCCCCUGGGUCAAGAUUGACGCUCAUGCACGAAAGCGUGGGGAGCAAACAGGAUUAGAAACCCGAGUAGUCCCA
rnacentral:rRNA from 1 species